UAUAAUAUAACAAAUGUAAACAAAAUUGUGAAUUCAGUGAAAAUAGUUUUGCCGUUUUAGCUACAUUUGAGAGUGAUAUUAAAAGUGAGAGUGAGAAUUAAAAAGAGUGGUAUUAAAAACAAUGAAACAGCUAUAUUAACUAAAGAACGCAGGAGAAUAAAUUUUAAAGAUGGAUAAAAUCUCGGUAGAAGAUAAACUAAAACGCUGUAUUUCUGCGCAACUCCAUAUACAAAAAACGCUCAUCUUAAAAAUUCGUAGUUACAAUCCCAGUACAAAAUAUAAAAAGGGUAUCGAUACUGUAAUGCCAACUCAGCUGUUUCACAGACGACAAAAAUGGACAAAAAUUGCAAUGAUAUGGGCAAAUCGAUCACGUGCAAAAAUAAUAAUUAAAAAGCGGGUGGAGGCAUUUUCUGGUGUAGAGAAAGCACAAAUGUUGUGAAAAACGGUCACACUAAAAGUGGGACACUUGGAAAAUGAUGUAUAGCAAGUGCUUUAGAAAUAAGUUAGUGUUUAUUUUAACCAUUUCUAACCUUUUUGAAUAAAUAAAUAUGUAUAGUAAUUCGAAAAAUCAU